UGGGGUUGGAGCUCAGUGGCAGAGCACUUGCCUAGCAUGCACAAGGCCCUGGGUUCCAUCCCCAGCACCACAA
rnacentral:tRNA from 1 species